AAGUCGUAACAAGGUUUCCGUAGGUGAACCUGCGGAAGGAUCAUUAUCGAGUUAUGAAAAGUGGGGUUUGAUGCUGGCCUUUUCCCAAAGGCAUGUGCUUGCCUCUACUUAUCCAACUAACACCUGUGCACAUUUGAGACAUUGUCCUCCCAAAUGACUUGGGAGCAGCUUUCCUUUCAGUCUCUUCCACGAGACAGAAAGGUUGAGCCAGGACAGUGCUUCAUCUAUUUAAAAAAACAAAACCCUUCAAAGUUCAGUAGAAUGUUAAUACUGCCGCAAGGCAACAAUCUAAUACAACUUUCAACAACGGAUCUCUUGGCUCUUGCAUCGAUGAAGAACGCAGCGAAAUGCGAUAAGUAAUGUGAAUUGCAGAAUUCAGUGAAUCAUCGAAUCUUUGAACGCACCUUGCGCUCCUUGGUAUUCCGAGGAGCAUACCUGUUUGAGUGUCAUGAAAUUCUCAAUCUCCUGAGCUUUGAAAGUGAGGGACUGAUUGGAUUUGGGAGCUUGCUGGCUACCUGUUGUUGGUCAGCUCUCCUUGAAUGCAUUAGCUUUUGACCAAAAGGAAUGGCACACGGUGUGAUAAAACUAUCUGCACUCUGUGUCAAGUCCAGACAAAAUGGUCAAGCUCAGAAUCUGUCGUCAGACACUUUUUUUAUUAUCAUCUGACCUCAAAUCAGGUAGGACUACCCGCUGAACUUA
rnacentral:rRNA from 1 species